AGCAGCCGCGGUAAUUCCAGCUCCAAUAGCGUAUAUUAAAGUUGUUGCAGUUAAAAAGCUCGUAGUUGAAUUUCGGGGUCAGUAGAUUGGUCGUGCCACUGGUAUGUACUGGUCUUACUGGCUCCUCCUUCCUGAUGAACCGUAAUGCCAUUAAUUUGGUGUUGCGGGGAGACUGGACUGUUACUUUGAAAAAUUAGAGUGUUUAAAGCAGGCUAACGCUUGAAUACAUUAGCAUGGAAUAAUGAAAUAGGACGUUCGAUCUUAUUUUGUUGGUUUCUAAGAUUGACGUAAUGAUUAAUAGGGAUAGUUGGGGGCAUUAGUAUUCAAUUGUCAGAGGUGAAAUUCUUGGAUUUAUUGAAGACUAACUACUGCGAAAGCAUUUGCCAAGGAUGUUUUCAUUAAUCAAGAACGAAAGUUAGGGGAUCGAAGACGAUCAGAUACCGUCGUAGUCUUAACCAUAAACUAUGCCGACUAGGGAUCGGAUGAUGUUAAUUUUUAAUGACUCAUUCGGCUACCG
rnacentral:sRNA from 1 species